UGGGGAAUAUUGGACAAUGGGCGAAAGCCUGAUCCAGCAAUGCCGCGUGAGUGAUGAAGGCCUUAGGGUUGUAAAGCUCUUUUACCGGGGAUGAUAAUGACAGUACCGGGAGAAUAAGCUCCGGCUAACUCCGUG
rnacentral:rRNA from 1 species